GAUGAACGCUAGCUACAGGCUUAACACAUGCAAGUCGAGGGGAAACGAUAUUGGAAGCUUGCUACCGAUAGGCGUCGACCGGCGCACGGGUGAGUAACGCGUAUCCAACCUGCCCAUCACUUGGGGAUAACCUUGCGAAAGUAAGACUAAUACCCAAUGAUAUCCGUCGAAGACAUCUGAAGUGGAUUAAAGAUUCAUCGGUGAUGGAUGGGGAUGCGUCUGAUUAGCUUGUUGGCGGGGUAACGGCCCACCAAGGCAACGAUCAGUAGGGGUUCUGAGAGGAAGGUCCCCCACAUUGGAACUGAGACACGGUCCAAACUCCUACGGGAGGCAGCAGUGAGGAAUAUUGGUCAAUGGACGAGAGUCUGAACCAGCCAAGUAGCGUGCAGGAUGACGGCCCUAUGGGUUGUAAACUGCUUUUAUAAGGGAAUAAAGUGGGAGUCGUGACUCCUUUUGCAUGUACCUUAUGAAUAAGGACCGGCUAAUUCCGUGCCAGCAGCCGCGGUAA
rnacentral:rRNA from 1 species